AUUGAAAGCUGGCGGCAGGCUUAAAACAUGCAAGUCGAGCGAGAGGAGGACGGGUGAGUAAUGUCUGGAAAAAUGCCAGAGGGAGGGGGAUAACUACUGGAAACGGUGGAUAAUACCGCAUACCAUAAGAUGAGACCAGAUGGGAUUCGCUAGUAGGGGGGGUAAUGGCUCACCUAGGCGACGAUCCCUAGCUGGGCUGAGAGGAUGACAAGCCACACUGGAACUGAGACACGGUCCAGACGCCUACGGGAGGCAGCAGUGGGGAAUAUUGCACAAUGGGCGCAAGCCUGAUGCAGCCAUGCCGCGUGUGUGAAGAAGGCCUUCGGGUUGUAAAGCACUUUCAGCGAGGAGGCGUUACUCGCAGAAGAAGCACCGGCUAACUCCGUGCCAGCAGCCGCGGUAAUUC
rnacentral:rRNA from 1 species